GAUGAACGCUGGCGGCGUGCCUAAUACAUGCAAGUCGAGCGAACGGACGAGAAGCUUGCUUCUCUGAUGUUAGCGGCGGACGGGUGAGUAACACGUGGAUAACCUACCUAUAAGACUGGGAUAACUUCGGGAAACCGGAGCUAAUACCGGAUAAUAUUUUGAACCGCAUGGUUCAAAAGUGAAAGACGGUCUUGCUGUCACUUAUAGAUGGAUCCGCGCUGCAUUAGCUAGUUGGUAAGGUAACGGCUUACCAAGGCAACGAUGCAUAGCCGACCUGAGAGGGUGAUCGGCCACACUGGAACUGAGACACGGUCCAGACUCCUACGGGAGGCAGCAGUAGGGAAUCUUGCGCAAUGGGCGAAAGCCUGACGGAGCAACGCCGCGUGAGUGAUGAAGGUCUUCGGAUCGUAAAGCUCUGUUAUUAGGGAAGAACAGAUGUGUAAGUAACUGUGCACAUCUUGACGGUACCUAAUCAGAAAGCCCCGGCUAACUACGUG
rnacentral:rRNA from 1 species